rnacentral:rRNA from 1 species
ACGCUCGACACCUACGGGGGGCAGCAGUGGGGAAUAUUGCACAAUGGGGGAAACCCUGAUGCAGCGACGCCGCGUGGAGGAAGAAGGUCUUCGGAUUGUAAACUCCUGUUGUUGGGGAAAAAGAGGAUGGUACCCAACAAGGAAGUGACGGCUAACUACGUGCCANNCGCGAGUAUNGNGGCGUGNGAGACG